UAAAAGCCAUCCCAGUUCGGAUUGCAGGCUGCAACCCGCCUGUAUGAAGUUGGAAUCGCUAGUAAUCGCGGAUCAGCAUGCCGCGGUGAAUACGUUCCCGGGCCUUGUACACACCGCCCGUCACACCAUGAGAGUCGGGAACACCCGAAGUCCGUAGCCUAACCGCAAGGAGGGCGCGGCCGAAGGUGGGUUCGAUAAUUGGGGUGAAGUCGUAACAAGGUAAC
rnacentral:rRNA from 1 species